UUAAUUGAAGAGUUUGAUCAUGGCUCAGAUUGAACGCUGGCGGCAGGCCUAACACAUGCAAGUCGAGCGGUAGCACAAGAGAGCUUGCUCUCUGGGUGACGAGCGGCGGACGGGUGAGUAAUGUCUGGGAAACUGCCUGAUGGAGGGGGAUAACUACUGGAAACGGUAGCUAAUACCGCAUAACGUCUUCGGACCAAAGUGGGGGACCUUCGGGCCUCACGCCAUCAGAUGUGCCCAGAUGGGAU
rnacentral:rRNA from 1 species